CGGUGAAUACGUUCCCGGACCUUGUACACACCGCCCGUCAAGCCAUGGAAGCUGGGUGUACCUAAAGUCGAUAACCGCAAGGAGUCGCCUAAGGGUAAAACUAGUAACUGGGGCU
rnacentral:rRNA from 1 species